UACGUAGGUGGCAAGCGUUGUCCGGAGUUAUUGGGCGUAAAGCGCGCGCAGGCGGUCCUUUAAGUCUGAUGUGAAAGCCCACGGCUCAACCGUGGAGGGUCAUUGGAAACUGGGGGACUUGAGUGCAGAAGAGGAAAGCGGAAUUCCACGUGUAGCGGUGAAAUGCGUAGAGAUGUGGAGGAACACCUGCGGCGAAGGCGGGUUGCUGGGCUGACACUGACGCUGAUGCGCGAAAGCCAGGGGAGCGAACGGG
rnacentral:rRNA from 1 species